rnacentral:rRNA from 1 species
GAUGAACGCUGGCGGCGUGCCUAACACAUGCAAGUCGAACGGGCUUGACCUGAAACCUAGUGAAGGUUAAGUUAGUGGCGGACGGGUGAGUAACGCGUGGGUAACCUGCCGUGUACAGGGGGAUAACAACUGGAAACAGCUGCUAAUACCGCAUAAGCGCACAGCGCCGCAUGGCGGAGUGUGAAAAGCCUUGACAGUACACGAUGGGCCCGCGUCCGAUUAGCCAGUUGGCGGGGUAAGAGCCCACCAAAGCGACGAUCGGUAGCCGGCCUGAGAGGGCGGACGGCCACAUUGGGACUGAGACACGGCCCAA